GACGAACGCUGGCGGCAUGCCUAACACAUGCAAGUCGAGCGAGCAGAUCCCUUCGGGGUGAAGCUAGCGGCGGACGGGUGAGUAACACGUGGGCAACCUGCCUCAUAGAGGGGAAUAGCCUUCCGAAAGGAAGAUUAAUACCGCAUAAGAUUGUAGCUUCGCAUGAAGCAGCAAUUAAAGGAGCAAUCCGCUAUGAGAUGGGCCCGCGGCGCAUUAGCUAGUUGGCGAGGUAACGGCUCACCAAGGCGACGAUGCGUAGCCGACCUGAGAGGGUGAUCAGCCACAUUGGGACUGAGACACGGCCCAGACUCCUACGGGAGGCAGCAGUGGGGAAUAUUGCACAAUGGGGGAAACCCUGAUGCAGCAAUGCCGCGUGAGUGAUGAGGGCCUUCGGGUUGUAAAGCUCUGUCUUCGGGGACGAUAAUGACGGUACCCGAGGAGGAAGCCACGGCUAACUACGUGCCAGCAGCCGGGGUAA
rnacentral:rRNA from 1 species